rnacentral:rRNA from 1 species
AGUGAACGCUGGCGGUAGGCCUAACACAUGCAAGUCGAACGGCAGCACAGUAAGAGCUUGCUCUUACGGGUGGCGAGUGGCGGACGGGUGAGGAAUACAUCGGAAUCUACUUUUUCGUGGGGGAUAACGUAGGGAAACUUACGCUAAUACCGCAUACGACCUACGGGUGAAAGCAGGGGAUCUUCGGACCUUGCGCGAUUGAAUGAGCCGAUGUCGGAUUAGCGAGUUGGCGGGGUAAAGGCCCACCAAGGCGACGAUCCGUAGCUGGUCUGAGAGGAUGAUCAGCCACACUGGAACUGAGACACGGUCCAGACUCCUACGGGAGGCAGCAGUGGGGAAUAUUGGACAAAGGGCGCAAGCCUGAUCCAGCCAUACCGCGUGGGUGAAGAAGGCCUUCGGGUUGUAAAGCCCUUUUGUUGGGAAAGAAAAGCAGCAGGUUAAUACCCCGCUGUUCUGACGGUACCCAAAGAAUAAGCACCGGCUAACUUCGUG